rnacentral:tRNA from 2 species
UCCCCGAUGGCGCAAUUGGCUAGCGCGUCUGACUGUUAAUCAGGAGGUUGAUGGUUCGAGCCCAUCUCGGGGAG